rnacentral:snRNA from 1 species
UUUUCUGUAAACGUUUGCGGUUAC